rnacentral:rRNA from 1 species
AGUGAACGCUGGCGGUAGGCCUAACACAUGCAAGUCGAACGGCAGCACAGUAAUAGCUUGCUCUUACGGGUGGCGAGUGGCGGACGGGUGAGGAAUACAUCGGAAUCUACUUUUUCGUGGGGGAUAACGUAGGGAAACUUACGCUAAUACCGCAUACGACCUACGGGUGAAAGCAGGGGAUCUUCGGACCUUGCGCGAUUGAAUGAGCCGAUGUCGGAUUAGCUAGUUGGCGGGGUAAAGGCCCACCAAGGCGACGAUCCGUAGCUGGUCUGAGAGGAUGAUCAGCCACACUGGAACUGAGACACGGUCCAGACUCCUACGGGAGGCAGCAGUGGGGAACAUUGGACAAUGGGCGCAAGCCUGAUCCAGCCAUACCGCGUGGGUGAAGAAGGCCUUCGGGUUGUAAAGCCCUUUUGUUGGGAAAGAAAAGCAGCAGGUUAAUACCCCGCUGUUCUGACGGUACCCAAAGAAUAAGCACCGGCUAACUUCGUG